CAGAACCGCUCCGGCUGCAGGUGGAUAAAUAUUUAUGGAGCACGUUCGCUCCUCACCGCGGAGGAGAAGUGGAAACAGUUCGUUUCCAAGACGGGCCUGACGUCCCCUCCAGAUCCUCGCCUGGAAGCGCUCAGGCAGACGGCUGCUCCUCACGUUGCCCCCAUCAAACCCAGGCAGCCCCUCGUCUUAACCAUCCACUAAUGUCACGAUUCGGCGGGCUCCGGAGCCAUGGAGGUGGCUCCUCCUGCUCGCCGCCACGUCUGCCGCUCGUCMAUCCAGGAAUCUGAUGAACUGUGCCCUCCUCAGAUUAACCCGCCGCCCCGGCUUUCUUUUUCCCACAAUCUCAGACCAUCGCCGGAGUGACCUGAGGUGUUUAAAGCGCCCGGUGUGAUCCAGGAGGGUCGGGCUUCAGAGAUGUUUGCAUGUUUAACUGAGCAGCACACCUCUUCAAAGUUUCAGUAUUUGAGAGCUGCUCUGCUGAGGAUCUGCCAAGUCGUGCUCAUCACGUGAGGCUCAUUAAACAUUCAGGCCUGGGAGGGCCCACGGAGCCUGCCAGCAUCCAAACCCUUAAGGUUUAGGAAGACGGAGCGUGAAGAGGAAGAGACAGAUCACGUCAGGAACACAGCACGGAGCCACGCCGAGGGCAUCGAACGCCGGGCCUCUGAAGCACAAGGAUGGGAUCAGGAGGAAGACGGGCGCGUCUUAUGAGGCUACCUGUUCACCAAGGGUCAGCUGAGGUCGACAGGUGGUCACAGUGAAGGUGGCAGAGCUGAAACAGGUCUUAACUCUUCUGCUGAUGAGGAGGAUUGUGAUCAUUCAACAACCCUCAGCUCUGACUUCUUUUCAAGCUGUGAAGAGAAGCAGAGCUUGCCCACCCUACAGGUGCUUCAGUCCUACCAUCGCUCAUGAACGAGGCGCCCAGAAGUUUCAGCUCCUUCACACGAGGCAAGGACUCAACUGGAGCUGGAAGUAACUGGAAGGAGGUCCAUUUUUUUCAGAGAGGCUGAUCAGGGGGAGGAAAGGCAGAGACGUUCUGGAGCUGAACCUCAACACUUCACGUCAAACUACAAACAGAAGCAGGGAGGUCAGCGUGGCCGGGCUCCUCUGCUGAAUUACUGGUCAUGCUGAGAGAACCAUUUUACAGGCUGAUAAUAUCGGCAGGGGAAGGCAUCCUUAUGAGGUAAGCAGCUGUGCUGGCCAUAUUGUGUAUCGAUCCAACUUGUGCUGUGAUGGCUGCACUUAAUCAGAUUUAUAUUGUAAACAAAGACUCGCAGUAUGAAAUGUGAAUUAGCAGGUAAACGUUAUCCAUCAAAGGGAAUAAUAAUAUUUUGUGCAGUCUGAUGCAGUAUUGGUAUUUCGCAGAUUUACUGUGUCUGGACAGAAAAUGGAGAGACAUCUUUUCUCGGGGUUUUCUGCUGGCUGUAGAGGCUUGCAGGGUCUUUUCUCCUCGUCCCUGCAGGCAUCGAUUGCUAAAAACAAUGCACAAAAAUUGAGACGUGCAUUUUAAACAUUGAUACAUACCUUUC